rnacentral:rRNA from 1 species
UACAGGGGGGGCAAGCGUUGUUCGGAAUUACUGGGCGUAAAGGGCUCGUAGGCGGCCAACUAAGUCACACGUGAAAUCCCCAGGCUUAACCUGGGAACUGCGUGUGAUACUGGAUGGCUUGAAUUCGGGAGAGGGAUGCAGAAUUCCAGGUGUAGCGGUGAAAUGCGUAGAUAUCUGGAGGAAUACCGGUGGCGAAGGCGGCAUCCUGGACCGACAUUGACGCUGAUGAGCGAAAGCUAGGGGAGCAACGGG